rnacentral:rRNA from 1 species
UCCUACGGGAGGCAGCAGUGGGAAAUUUUCCGCAAUGGACGAAAGUCUGACGGAGCAACGCCGCGUGAGGGAUGAAGGCCUCUGGGCUGUAAACCUCUUUUCUCAAGGAAGAAGAUAUGACGGUACUUGAGGAAUAAGCCACGGCUAAUUCCGUGCCAGCAGCCGCGGUAAUACGGGAGUGGCAAGCGUUAUCCGGAAUUAUUGGGCGUAAAGCGUCCGCAGGCGGCCUUACAAGUCUGCUGUAAAAACGUGGAGCUUAACUCCAUCAUCGCAGUGGAAACUGUAGGGCUUGAGUAUGGUAGGGGCAGAGGGAAUUCCCGGUGUAGCGGUGAAAUGCGCAGAUAUCGGGAAGAACACCAGUGGCGAAGGCGCUCUGCUGGGCCAUAACUGACGCUCAUGGACGAAAGCCAGGGGAGCGAAAGGGAUUAGAUACCCCUGUAGUCCUGGCCGUAAACGAUGAACACUAGGUGUCGGGGGAAUCGACCCCCUCGGUGUCGUAGCUAACGCGUUAAGUGUUCCGCCUGGGGAGUACGCACGCAAGUGUGAAACUCAAAUGAAUUGACGG